GACGUAGGGGGGCCAGCGUUGUUCGGAAUUACUGGGUGUAAAGGGCUCGUAGGCGGUGUGGCAAGUCGGGAGUGAAAUCUCUGGGCUCAACUCGAGAGACUGCUUCCGAAACUGCUGUGCUGGAGUGUGGGAGGAGGUGAGUGGAAUUCCUGGUGUAGCGGUGAAAUGCGUAGAUAUCAGGAGGAACACCUGUGGCGAAAAGCGGCUCACUGGACCAUAACUGACGCUGAUGCACGAAAGCUAGGGGAGCAAACAGG
rnacentral:rRNA from 1 species